CCUAAGGCGAGGCCGAAAGGCGUAGUCGAUGGGAAACAGGUUAAUAUUCCUGUACUUGGUGUUACUGCGAAGGGGGGACGGAGAAGGCUAUGUUGGCCGGGCGACGGUUGUCCCGGUUUAAGCGUGUAGGCUGGUUUUCCAGGCAAAUCCGGAAAAUCAAGGCUGAGGCGUGAUGACGAGGCACUACGGUGCUGAAGCAACAAAUGCCCUGCUUCCAGGAAAAGCCUCUAAGCAUCAGGUAACAUCAAAUCGUACCCCAAACCGACACAGGUGGUCAGGUAGAGAAUACCAAGGCGCUUGAGAGAACUCGGGUGAAGGAACUAGGCAAAAUGGUGCCGUAACU
rnacentral:rRNA from 1 species